rnacentral:rRNA from 1 species
UACGUAGGGACCGAGCGUUGUCCGGAUUCAUUGGGCGUAAAGAGCUCGUAGGCGGCUGCUCAAGUCGAAUGUGAAAACUCGAGGCUACACCGUCGACCUGCAUUCGAUACUGGGCGGCUAGAGUCUGGUAGGGGGAUCUGGAAUUCCUGGUGUAGCGGUGGAAUGCGCAGAUAUCAGGAGGAACACCGGUGGCGAAGGCGGGUUCUCUGGGCCUUACCUGACGCUGAGGAGCGAAAGCGUGGGGAGCGAACAGG